rnacentral:rRNA from 1 species
AACGAACGCUGGCGGCAGGCUUAACACAUGCAAGUCGAGCGCCCCGCAAGGGGAGCGGCAGACGGGUGAGUAACGCGUGGGAAGCUACCCAUCUCUACGGAAUAACGCAUGGAAACGUGUGCUAAUACCGUAUACGUCCUUCGGGAGAAAGAUUUAUCGGAGAUGGAUGAGCCCGCGUUGGAUUAGCUAGUUGGUGGGGUAAAGGCCUACCAAGGCGACGAUCAAUAGCUGGUCUGAGAGGAUGAUCAGCCACACUGGGACUGAGACACGGCCCAGACUCCUACGGGAGGCAGCAGUGGGGAAUAUUGGACAAUGGGCGCAAGCCUGAUCCAGCCAUGCCGCGUGAGUGAUGAAGGCCCUAGAGUUGUAAAGAUCUUUCACCGGUGAAGAUAAUGACGGUAACCGGAGAAGAAGCCCCGGCUAACUUCGUGCCAGCCGCCGCCGUAAGAC